AUGGUCAUUAAACUAGACUUCUCCAAAGCCUUCGACUCCCUCUCUUGGGCAUCACUUCUCACCAUCCUACGCUGUCGUGGAUUCCCGCCAAAAUUUACAGCCUGGAUCCAGGAUCUCCUCUCAUCUGGAAAAACGGCCGUCAUGCUAAACGGUAUCCCGGGG
rnacentral:rRNA from 1 species